UUGGUUCCCAGUGGACAAACUCAGACUCAGGGGAUUCAGAGUUAUGUAAAUAAUGACCUGUGUAUACCCACGAUGCCGCCUACGCUAACCCAGAUGGAUAUGUCAAUGAGUAAAGCUGGUAAUUCGGUGGAAGAGGAAGUACAGAGUGGACUCAGAACUCAGCGAAUUACUAACUCAGGGUUUUUUCAACAGAACUCUAGUGGGUUGAUGACCCAGAACUUUUCUAACUCAAUUGACCCGUAUGGAUUCCGGUACCCGACUCAGUCGGGUGGGUUUGUGUUUAAGCAAUAAAAAGUUGAAAAAAAAAAGAGAGAGAGGGG
rnacentral:lncRNA from 1 species